rnacentral:rRNA from 1 species
GAUGAACGCUGGCGGCGUGCCUAAUACAUGCAAGUCGAGCGAACGGACGAGAAGCUUGCUUCUCUGAUGUUAGCGGCGGACGGGUGAGUAACACGUGGAUAACCUACCUAUAAGACUGGGAUAACUUCGGGAAACCGGAGCUAAUACCGGAUGAUAUUUUGAACCGCAUGGUUCAAAAGUGAAAGACGGUCUUGCUGUCACUUAUAGAUGGAUCCGCGCUGCAUUAGCUAGUUGGUAAGGUAACGGCUUACCAAGGCAACGAUGCAUAGCCGACCUGAGAGGGGGAUGGGCCACAAGGGAACGGAGACACGGUCCAGAACCCUAGGGGAGGCAGCAGGAGGGAAUCUUCCGCAAUGGGCGAAAGCCUGAGGGAGCAACGCGGGGGGGGUGAUGAAGGGUUUCGGAUGGUAAAACUCUGUUAUUAGGGAAGAAAAAAUGUGUAAGUAACUGGGAACAUCUUGAGGGUACCAAAUCAGAAAGCCACGGAUAACUACGU